rnacentral:rRNA from 1 species
AUACGUAGGUGACAAGCGUUAUCCGGAUUUACUGGGCGUAAAGGGCGUGUAGGCGGUCUUGCAAGUCAGAAGUGAAAUUCCUGAGCUCAACUCGGGCGCUGCUUCUGAAACUGCAGGACUUGAGUGCUGGAGGGGAUAGCGGAAUUCCUAGUGGAGCGGUAAAAUGCGCAGAUAUUAGGAAGAACACCGGUGGCGAAGGCGGCUAUCUGGACAGUAAUUGACGCUGAGGCGCGAAAGCGUGGGGAGCAAACAGGAUUAGAUCCCCUGGUAGUCCACGCCGUAAACGAUGAAUACUAGGUGUAGGGGGUAUCGACUCCCUCUGUGCCGCAGUUAACACAAUAAGUAUUCCGCCUGGGGAGUACGGCCGCAAGGUUGAAACUCAAAUGAAUUGACGGGG